AGCGAACGCUGGCGGCAGGCCUAACACAUGCAAGUCGAACGAACUCUUCGGAGUUAGUGGCGGACGGGUGAGUAACACGUGGGAACGUGCCUUUAGGUUCGGAAUAACUCAGGGAAACUUGUGCUAAUACCGAAUGUGCCCUUCGGGGGAAAGAUUCAUCGCCUUUAGAGCGGCCCGCGUCUGAUUAGCUAGUUGGUGGGGUAAUGGCCCACCAAGGCUACGAUCAGUAGCUGGUCUGAGAGGAUGACCAGCCACAUUGGGACUGAGACACGGCCCAAACUCCUACGGGAGGCAGCAGUGGGGAAUCUUGCGCAAUGGGCGAAAGCCUGACGCAGCCAUGCCGCGUGGAUGGUGAAGGUCUUAGGAUUGUAAAAUCCUUUCACCGGUGAAGAUAAUGACUGUAGCCGGAGAAGAAGCCCCGGCUAACUUCGUGCCAGCAGCCGCCGUAAUAC
rnacentral:rRNA from 1 species